UACGUAGGGUGCGAGCGUUGCCCGGAUUUAUUGGGCGUAAAGGGCGCGUAGGCGGCCACGCACGUCCGUUGUGAAAUCGCCCGGCUCAACUGGGCGGGGUCGGCGGAUACGGCGUGGCUGGAGCAAGCUAGGGGGCAAUGGAAUUCCUGGUGUAGCGGUGAAAUGCGCAGAUAUCAGGAGGAACACCAAUUGCGAAGGCAGCUCGCUGGGACGUAACUGACGCUGAGACGCGAAAGCGUGGGGAGCAAACAGG
rnacentral:rRNA from 1 species